ACAGCUUUCAUCCACCUGCAACAUUCGUCUUCUGCAGGAGUAGUUUCUUGAUACCCAAGGCUUGAAGGAGAUGACAGUAGUGAUGAGUGCGCGAGUGUAAAUGCUGGUGGAGUUGGUGGAGCAGGUGGAGUUGGUGGAGCUGGUGGAGCUGGUGGAGCAGGUGGAGAUGGUGGAGGCAAAGGGGUAUAUGGCAAAUUUUGACAUGCAUGGUUCACAAGUGUAAAUUGGGAGAGACAAAGUGGACGAGGGACAAUAGAAGGAUUAGGCGCAAAUUGACUGUUUGAUCCUCCUAGGUGAAUUAUUACUAGGAGUAACAAAGUUGAAACCAUUCCUUGGAUCAUGUUCAUUUUGCUUAUGCUUCCUUCUUGUGUUU
rnacentral:lncRNA from 1 species